rnacentral:misc_RNA from 1 species
UUAAUUAAGUGCAAGUAACGUUAAAUCAUUCAAAAUGGUAUUUCUUCUAUACUUUUUGAUUUACCUAUAAUAUAUACGUUAUAUAUAAUAUACGUUAUACGAUUUUUGUUCAAGUCGACGUUGAGGAUGAAAUGAUAGAAAUUAAUUCGGCGGCUGGUUUGAUUACCGUUUUAACAAGAAUCCUUAGGAAUACUGAAGACAGAAAUGCAAACACUUAUAUCGCCGAUGCUGUCAUGAAUAGAAUAUUGUCAUUUGAUCAUUUGCCUACUGACAAAAAACAUGUAUUUUCUGUGUUGCUGAACAAUAUAAUGUGCUUAUAUCACGUAGCUUGCCAUAGACAGUUAAUUGAAUAUGUAGCUUUCAAAGACAGAUUAGUCGAUUUAUCGAUAGACUAUGCUAUAGUAGAUUAUGAAUUAAAAAUUUCCAACGAAAACGUGGACAUGUUAGAGCACACUCUUAAGGACAUUUAAAAAAAAAUUUGUUUAUCUAUGAGGCAUGUAGCCUGGCUGAAGAGUUUGAUAUUUGUAGGCGCAAAUUAACAAAUUUUAGAAUGGAUUCUCUCGAUCAUUUCGAACACAGUAAAAUAUUGUUCAGAUGUUGAAGACGAAUUGUUCAGAUUCGUCCCAGAAUUUUAUAUUGAUAAUCUGAUGGGGUUAGCUGUUCUAUUGCCUGAUUACACUAACGUAAUCCAGAAGUUCGAUGCUAUUAUAGUUGCUAAAAAAUGGUUAGCCAUGUUCAUUGCUGAAAUAUUACUUGACAUUUUUAAUGAUCAUAGAAUAAUCCAUCCGAAAACCAAAGAAAUAAUUGUACAAGGAGUCACUUUGUAUUUGACUAAUCCUAAAUCAGUUGAAAAAAAAUCACGACUGCGUGCGAUCAAAUCAAUUUUAAAACCGAGGGAGUGAAAAAUGUAGAUCAAAACCAAUUUAAUAUUAAUGUUAAUUUGGUACGGUUCUGGAUUUGCAUUUCGUUAUGUACAACCGCCUCAUCUAAACAAUAAACACAUCUCUACACAAGGAGCACUUGAAGAAAUUGUGUUUUCUAACAUGGGCACUGUACGACCACCUGCUACCGUGUUACAAAAUGACAUAUGAACGGUUAUAGCUCAAGACAAAGAAACAGCGUCUAAUUUUAUCAAUAACUCAUUUAAUUAUCUAAACUGGGCUUUUUCUGAGUUCAUAAGUUUAUUCCAAGAAAUAAAAGAUAUAAACGAAAACCAUACUGUUAUUUUUUCGUCGGAAGAAGUGAACAAGCUAAAAAUGUGUGGUAAAAGUUUUAUUUACACUGUAACAUUAUUACGUGUUAUUGAAAUGAUGAUUCAUUUUGAUCGUAAUUUCAUAAUUGACCAAGAAGGAUCACUUGGCAGAGUCUUUCAGGUUGCGAAGAAUCCUUGAAUUGUUUUUUUUAAAUAUAAUGCAUUAGGUACUUACAUAAUGUAAUACAUUAAUUGUUUUGUGCUUUUCAGUUAAUAUGUCAAAUUCUCAAUCGUAUAAAUGCCUCAUCUUCUACGUUUAGCCGAAUUUCGCAAUUAUCGUUACCGCAUAUGGAUUGUGUACAUAAGUUUACAAUUCUUGUAGCUACAAACUGGUGUUUUGUUAUCUAUGUUAGACGGUGAAAUAAAUAAAAAGGGUGAAUGAACAAGCCUCAUAUAUUUUAAAUGUUUGAAACA